AGCUCCAAUAGCGUAUAUUAAAGUUGUUGCAGUUAAAAAGCUCGUAGUUGAAUUUUGGGCCUGGCCGGGCGGUCCUCCGCAAGGUUGCACUCCUGGGCGGGCCUUUCCUUCUGGGGAACCGGUGUGCUCUUUAUUGGGUGUGCAGGGGAUCCAGGACUUUUACUUUGAAAAAAUUAGAGUGUUUAAAGCAGGCCUAUGCUUGAAUACAUUAGCAUGGAAUAAUAGAAUAGGACUUUGGUUCUAUUU
rnacentral:rRNA from 1 species